rnacentral:rRNA from 1 species
CGGACGGGUGAGUAAUGUCUGGGAGACUGCCCGAUGGAGGGGGAUAACUACUGGAAACGGUAGCUAAUACCGCAUAACGUCGCAAGACCAAAGAGGGGGACCUUCGGGCCUCUUGCCAUCGGAUGUGCCCAGAUGGGAUUAGCUAGUAGGUGGGGUAACGGCUCACCUAGGCGACGAUCCCUAGCUGGUCUGAGAGGAUGAUCAGCCACACUGGGACUGAGACACGGCCCAG